UCGCCCAGGGAUGAGCCCGCGUCGGAUUAGCUAGUUGGUGGGGUAAAGGCCUACCAAGGCAACGAUCCGUAGCUGGUCUGAGAGGAUGAUCAGCCACACUGGGACUGAGACACGGCCCAG
rnacentral:rRNA from 1 species